CAGUCGCCGCGGGAAUACAGAGGGUGCGAGCGUUAAUCGGAUUUACUGGGCGUAAAGCGUGCGUAGGCGGCUUUUUAAGUCGGAUGUGAAAUCCCUGAGCUUAACUUAGGAAUUGCAUUCGAUACUGGGAAGCUAGAGUAUGGGAGAGGAUGGUAGAAUUCCAGGUGUAGCGGUGAAAUGCGUAGAGAUCUGGAGGAAUACCGAUGGCGAAGGCAGCCAUCUGGCCUAAUACUGACGCUGAGGUACGAAAGCAUGGGGAGCAAACAGGAUUAGAGACCCCAGUAGUCCAUGUCUCUUAUAC
rnacentral:rRNA from 1 species